ACCUCCCUGGAACGCACGUGAUGCUUCGUUCACUGCAGGCCUCACAAGCAUCAGAAUAGGGGAACAAUCUCCGGACCGGUGUGCACGCCCGUUUUACGGGAAGCCUGAUGGGCCGGAAGCGUUUUCCACCGUAGGUCUUAGGCCCUGCGGAGAACAACGCACACGACGUUCUGGGGCGCAA
rnacentral:other from 1 species